rnacentral:rRNA from 1 species
UCGAACGCCCCUUCGGGGAGUGGCGCACGGGUGAGUAACGCGUGGGAAUGUGCCCUCGGGUACGGAACAACACCGGGAAACUGGUGCUAAUACCGUAUAAUAUCUUCGGAUCAAAGAUUUAUCGCCCAGGGAUCAGCCCGCGUAGGAUUAGCUAGUUGGUGAGGUAAUGGCUCACCAAGGCUUCGAUCCUUAGCUGGUCUUAGAGGAUGAUCAGCCACACUGGAACUGAGACACGGUCCAGACUCCUACGGGAGGCAGCAGUAAGGAAUAUUGGACAAUGGGCGAAAGCCUGAUCCAGCCAUGCCGCGUGAAUGAAGAAGGCCUUAGGGUUGUAAAGUUCUUUUAGUGGUGACGAUAAUGACGGUAGCCACAGAAAAAGCUCCGGCUAACUCCGUGCCAGCAGCCGCGGUAAUACGGAGGGAGCGAGCGUUGUUCGGAAUUACUGGGCGUAAAGGGUGCGCAGGCGGCUAUGUAAGUCGGAAGUGAAAUCCCAGGGCUUAACYCUGNAAUUGCUUUCGAAACUAUA